AGAGAGAGACAUGCGCGCAUAUCAAUAAGCGGAGGAAAAGAAACUAACUAGGAUUCCCUCAGUAACGGCGAGUGAAGCGGGAAGAGCUCAAAUUUGAAAUCUUCAAGGUUUUACCUUGACGAAUUGUAGUUUAUAAGAAGUGUUUUCUGUUAGUGGAGUUGGCUAAAAGUUCUUUGGAAUAGGACAUCAUAGAGGGUGAGAAUCCCGUAUUUGGUCAUUCCUCCUAGCGUUGUGAUACACUUUCAACGAGUCGGAUUGUUUGGGAAUGCAGUCCAAAAUGGGUGGUAAAUUUCAUCUAAAGCUAAAUAUUGGCGAGAGACCGAUAGCGAACAAGUACCGUGAGGGAAAGAUGAAAAGAACUUUGAAAAGAGAGUUAAACAGUACGUGAAAUUGUCAAAAGGGAAGCGUUUGACACCAGUGUUGUUUUCUCGAAAAUCAAUUAAAAAAGGCUGGAUUUUGUGUUGUAUUGACUUUAUCAGCUUUCUGCACUCUUUUCUUGUCUUUUUUAAUGCACUUCUCGUUUAACAAGUCAACAUCAAUUUCUUUUGUUGUAAAAGAGUCAUUGGAAGGUGGCUUUCUUUUCGGAGAAAGUGUUUAUAGCCUUUGACUUCUGCAAUCGGAGAGAUUGAGGUCUGCAGCGUAGAUCCUUCGGGGUUAGAUGCAUUUGUGCUAAGCUAUAGCCUUUCAUAGACAACUUGUUGACUAUGAUCAGUCAUGUAGCUUACUCGCUUAUGUCAUUUUACCUACGCUUAGGAUGUUGACAGCAGUAUAGACUGU
rnacentral:rRNA from 1 species